AGAGUUUGAUCCUGGCUCAGGAUGAACGCUGGCGGCGUGCCUAACACAUGCAAGUCGAGCGAUUCUCUUCGGAGAAGAGCGGCGGACGGGUGAGUAACGCGUGGGUAACCUGCCCUGUACACACGGAUAACAUACCGAAAGGUAUGCUAAUACGGGAUAACAUAAGAAAUUCGCAUGUUUUUCUUAUCAAAGCUCCGGCGGUACAGGAUGGACCCGCGUCUGAUUAGCUAGUUGGUGAGGUAACGGCUCACCAAGGCGACGAUCAGUAGCCGACCUGAGAGGGUGAUCGGCCACAUUGGAACUGAGACACGGUCCAAACUCCUACGGGAGGCAGCAGUGGGGAAUAUUGCACAAUGGGCGAAAGCCUGAUGCAGCAACGCCGCGUGAGCGAUGAAGGCCUUCGGGUCGUAAAGCUCUGUCCUCAAGGAAGAUAAUGACGGUACUUGAGGAGGAAGCCCCGGCUAACUACGUGCCAGCAGCCGCGGUAAUACGUAGGGGGCUAGCGUUAUCCGGAUUUACUGGGCGUAAAGGGUGCGUAGGCGGUCUUUUAAGUCAGGAGUGAAAGGCUACGGCUCAACCGUAGUAAGCUCUUGAAACUGGAGGACUUGAGUGCAGGAGAGGAGAGUGGAAUUCCUAGUGUAGCGGUGAAAUGCGUAGAUAUUAGGAGGAACACCAGUAGCGAAGGCGGCUCUCUGGACUGUAACUGACGCUGAGGCACGAAAGCGUGGGGAGCAAACAGGAUUAGAUACCCUGGUAGU
rnacentral:rRNA from 1 species